GGGGAGGCCCUUAUGUAAAUAAGUGCUUUGAAAUAUGUGAAAUCUGCUUUUAACCUUCUAAAUGAAAAGGUAGAUGGAACAGGUCUUGUUUGCAAAAUAAAUUCACGACCUACUUAUCUACCAGCAGUA